AGGCCAUGGCUAGCUCUAUGUCGGCUCCUUUAUAUGUAAGUCGUAGCUCUAUCUUAUCUCUUGUAAUUAUAUCUUAUGGCUCUGCCUCAUGUUCUAUAUCUCUGUCUCCAAUCUAUGAAUCUCUGUACUGCUAUUGCUUUAUCUACAAUUUUGAGUACAUCUGCUCACUAUAAACAAUUGAGUAUGGAUGACUCUAACUCCAUAACCUCUCAUUCGGCCA
rnacentral:lncRNA from 1 species